GAAGGAAGGGAAGAAAGAGAGAACUUGUGAGUUGGGUUUGAUAUAUGGUUUCUUGUAGAAAGAGAAAAUAGAAAUCCAUCCAUAUAUAAUACUUUCUAUUCUUUUUUAACCCUCUGAUAAUAGAAGCUUAAUUUUGUUAUAAGAGAUAAUAGAGUCUUUGUUAUUCUUUCUUUUUUCCUGUUGUUUUCUUGUGAAGUGCAGAAACUUUUUUCUUUCGUUGCUAUCUCUCUAAACUGUGAAGAAGAUUAGCUUGAUAAAAGGAUUUGCGUUUUCAAUUUUGUUUAUUUCUUAAGAUUUUGAACCUGUUCUAUUCCAAUCUUCUCUAUCAUUUCUUGGAUCUUUUGAUGUAAUUCCGACUUUCUAAUAUCUCCUGGAUCUCCAUCAAAACUUUUGAAAUUUUUUAUUAUUUUUUUUCUCCUAAGAAAUCGCCCCUAGCGUGCAGAAAGGAAACGAAGAAUAGAUAAUUUUUCAUGAAGAAAAAGGAUAGACCGACAGGGACAGUGGUGGUUAUGGAUCAUUCUUCUCGGAAUCCAACAAGAUUUGCCACUGUUAAUGGUAGAUUUAUGUUAAGAUCUUCUAAUUCUCCCUUCUCUUUGAGCCAGCAUCACAUCUUGAAUAGAAGUUUGGGGCCAUUACGAUCACUUCCUCCACCUCAUCAUUCCUCUCUUCCUGGUGCUUCUCAUCCUUCUCUUCAUCAACCACCCCUCCUUCCCCUCCCUGACUCAAAAUCCACGUCUGCUCUGUCGCCACCCAAGAGGACAGCCACGACCAUCAGAUCUAAUCAGCAGAAGCAUCGGUGGAAGGGAAAAUCCUCGGCGAAGCCGAGGAAUGGGAAAGCCGUCCUUGUAACAGCCCACAAAUGCAAAGCAGAGACAUGGGAGGAGGAAAGAGAGGAUGCCAUGGAAUCCAUCUACUCGAUCUCGCCUCCACCGAGCAGCCUUCCGUUGCCUAGAUUCUCUCUUCGAAGGCCCAAGUCUGCUGCAUCCUGUGCCAUGGAGGCCGUGGAAGGUGGUAGCAUAGACAUCGGCGCCACCGAUGGUCUCCGCCGCCUGCUCCGCCUUUAGGAUGUGAUGUUGGAGGUGCUGAACUGUACCGAUCAAAAUAAUAUAUAAUGCAUUGAAGAAGAAAAGGGACGAUCACUUGCCCUGUUGCUAAUUCAAUUCAUGCGCCCCUUGUCCUAUGAUUUUUACCCUCUAAUCCUUAUCUGUUAAUCUUGCUAGUUCACAGAGAUGGUCUGCAUAACAGAUCAAAUGCCGAAUUGCACUCUAACCAGCCAUCAAGACAAUGGUCAAAUUCAUAACCAGGUUCAAGAGAAGGGACAUCUGCUUUUUAACCAGCAAGACAAUGGUUAGAUUCAUCACUAUUUCAAUGAGAGUAUGCAAACGAAACGUGGCAAUGUUGUGGCAGCUUGAUGGUGUGCCCUCAAUAAAGUAAUCCAUGCAACCUGUCUCAACGAAAGCAAAACUGUAUGUUGAAGUGUGGCAUCUCUUUUUGUUUGAUAACGACAUUGUACAAGAUAACGGUGAUUAUUUUAAUGCCAACCCAUCGCGGUUACGUUAUCGA